rnacentral:misc_RNA from 1 species
AAGUCGUAACAAGGUUUCCGUAGGUGAACCUGCGGAAAGAUCAUUACCGAGUUCUCGGGCUUCGGCCCGAAUCUCCCACCCUUUGUGAACAUACCUCUGUUGCUUUGGCGGCUCUUGCCGCGUGGAGGCCCUCAAAAGCCCCCCCUGCGCGCUUCCGCCAGAGGACCUUCAAAACUCCAGUCAGUAAACGUCGACGUCUGAAAAAUCAAGUUAAUAACUAAAA